GCCGGGGUAGCUCAAUCGGUAGAGCGUGUGGCUCUUAUCUGGGUUCUCACACCCAGAAAAGGACACCUCAAGGUCGUGGGUUCGAGCCCCACCUUCGGCU
rnacentral:tRNA from 1 species